CAGAUUCUUGUUUGCAACACAUUUUUGGAUUGUGUUGUAUGGUAUGGGUAAUUGCACUUAUGGCUUUGGAAACAGCUGUUGGCUUGAUUAGAGAUUCGAAGAAAAAAGAAUAAUGC